UACGAAGGGGGCUAGCGUUGCUCGGAAUCACUGGGCGUAAAGGGUGCGUAGGCGGGUCUUUAAGUCAGGGGUGAAAUCCUGGAGCUCAACUCCAGAACUGCCUUUGAUACUGAAGAUCUUGAGUUCGGGAGAGGUGAGUGGAACUGCGAGUGUAGAGGUGAAAUUCGUAGAUAUUCGCAAGAACACCAGUGGCGAAGGCGGCUCACUGGCCCGAUACUGACGCUGAGGCACGAAGGCUGGGGUAGCGAACAGG
rnacentral:rRNA from 1 species